rnacentral:rRNA from 1 species
GACGAAGGGGGCGAACGUUGUUCGGAAUCACUGGGCUUAAAGGGUGCGUAGGCGGGCGGUCAAGUCAGGGGUGAAAUCCUCCAACUUAACUGGAGAACUGCCUUUGAUACUGGUCAUCUUGAGUGAGGUAGGGGCGUGCGGAACUGAUGGUGGAGCGGUGAAAUGUGUUGAUAUCAUCAGGAACUCCGGUGGCGAAAGCGGCGCGCUGGACCUUUACUGACGCUGAGGCACGAAAGCCAGGGGAGCGAACGGG